GAUGAACGCUGGCGAUAGGCUUAACACAUGCAAGUCGAGGGGCAGCACAAGGUAGCUUGCUAUCUGGGUGGCGACCGGCGCACGGGUGCGUAACGCGUAUGCAACUUGCCCUAUACAGGAGGAUAACCCGUCGAAAGACGGACUAAUACUGCGUAUGCUCACAACUUGGCAUCAAGUGGUGAGGAAAGAAAUUCGGUAUAGGAUAGGCAUGCGUCCCAUUAGCUUGUUGGUGAGGUAACGGCUCACCAAGGCAACGAUGGGUAGGGGAACUGAGAGGUUUAUCCCCCACACUGGUACUGAGACACGGACCAGACUCCUACGGGAGGCAGCAGUGAGGAAUAGUGGUCAAUGGGCGCGAGCCUGAACCAGCCAAGUCGCGUGAAGGAUGACUGUCUUAUGGAUUGUAAACUUCUUUUAGACGGGAAUAACAAGAGUCACGUGUGACUCCCUGCAUGUACCGUAUGAAUAAGCAUCGGCUAACUCCGUG
rnacentral:rRNA from 1 species